AAAUGCAUGCAUGUCUUGUAAAAUAUUCAUGUACAAGUGUAUAAAAGGUAACUCACCUGUCAAUAUUUUAACUAGACAGUUUGAUUUAGGCACUACUGGAAUUGUAUGCUGGGAUUUUGGGCGCCAAUCGUCGACCAUUGUGUACUAAAUUUCAUGGUAAUUGACGUUGAAAGUACGUUGAGUUGUGCGAUCUCCGGGAAGUUCCACGUGGGUUUGGUGGAACUUGGUGAAGUGUAAGUGUCAUUUACAGUUGUACAUUUUAUACACUGAUGUUGAUAUAAGUGGGUUUAUGGUUGUUAACAUGAUUUAUUUUAUGUUUUCUGUCGAUGGUCAUAGCCCACUGCCGUAUUUUGUAUUGUGUUUUUUUAUUGUAUUUCUCGGCAUUUUAUUUUUUAUUUUGCCUCUUCCUUCCCUAACAUUUGGGUGUUAGAGACUGUUACAAAAUCCAGUAUUUGAGCUGUUACAGGAACGACCCAGUAGCAUACCACUCUGUAAAUUGACCUGUACAUGUGGUCAGGAAUAAACCUGGAGCUACAGGAACCCCUGAA